UUAAGAAAUGAUGGCGAUUUAUUAAAAACAUUACUUUGUUUAAUUAUUUUAACAUACAUUUAAAGCUAUCUUUGCGGUCUCCGGUGUUAGGGGAUGUGUUAGGGGCGUUUAGUGGGUGUGGUUUGAGUGGGACCGGACGUAAACAUUCUGAGUUUUGACAGCAGCGUGUGAGGAUGUAUCAG